rnacentral:rRNA from 1 species
UACGUAGGGAGCAAGCGUUGUCCGGAAUCAUUGGGCGUAAAGCGCGCGUAGGCGGCCCUGUAAGUCCGUUGUGAAAGUCAAAGGCUCAACCUUUGAAAGCCGAUGGAUACUGCAGGGCUAGAGUCCGGAAGAGGCGAAGUGGAAUUCCUGGUGUAGCGGUGGAAUGCGCAGAUAUCAGGAGGAACACCAAUAGCGAAGGCAGCUCGCUGGGACGGUACUGACGCUAAGGCGCGAAAGCGUGGGGAGCAAACAGG